CCUAGUGCUGCAGCUGUUGAUUUCCGGAGUUGUUCAGAGUAUUGAGGUAGCUGCCCAGCGUCCGCAGGACCACCUACUCUGUCUCUAUCAGUUGUUUCUUUUGCUAUUCUGUCAGACAUUUGUAUUACUUCCGUUCAGACCUGUAUCUUAUUUUAUUAGAGACUGUACUCUUGACUUCUUGGUCUUUCCGGAGAAUUAUUGUUCUUGCUCAGCUAUGUUUUCAUUGCUAUUGUCU
rnacentral:lncRNA from 1 species